GUCUGAUGAUCCUCAAUGGCCUGGGGUGCAGGCUUCAAACCUGUAGCUGUCUAGCAACAGAGUGUCGCCUUUUGGGCG